UACGUAGGGUGCGAGCGUUAAUCGGAAUUACUGGGCGUAAAGCGUGCGCAGGCGGUUUUGUAAGCCAGAUGUGAAAUCCCCGGGCUUAACCUGGGAAUGGCAUUUGGGACUGCAAGGCUGGAGUUUGGCAGAGGAGACUGGAAUUCCCGGUGUAGCAGUGAAAUGCGUAGAUAUCGGGAGGAACACCGGUGGCGAAGGCGGCCCCCUGGUUGGAUACUGACGCUGAGACGCGAAAGCGUGGGGAGCAAACAGG
rnacentral:rRNA from 1 species